GCCUGGCUGGCUCAGUUGGUAGAACAUAUGACUCUUCAUCAUGGGGUUGUGAGUUCGAGGCCCAUGUUGGGUG
rnacentral:tRNA from 1 species